rnacentral:sRNA from 1 species
UCGGACGUAUCUGUGGUCCGAGAGCGUAAAA